GAUGAACGCUGGCGGCGUGCCUAAUACAUGCAAGUCGAGCGAACGGACGAGAAGCUUGCUUCUCUGAUGUUAGCGGCGGACGGGUGAGUAACACGUGGAUAACCUACCUAUAAGACUGGGAUAACUUCGGGAAACCGGAGCUAAUACCGGAUAAUAUUUUGAACCGCAUGGUUCAAAAGUGAAAGACGGUCUUGCUGUCACUUAUAGAUGGAUCCGCGCUGCAUUAGCUAGUUGGUAAGGUAACGGCUUACCAAGGCAACGAUGCAUAGCCGACCUGAGAGGGUGAUCGGCCACACUGGAACUGAGACACGGUCCAGACUCCGACGGGAGGCAGCAGUAGGGAAUCUUCCGCAAUGGGCGAAAGCCUGACGGAGCAACGCCGCGUGAGUGAUGAAGGUCGUCGGAUCGUAAAACUCUGUUAUUAGGGAAGAACAUAUGUGUAAGUAACUGUGCACAUCUUGACGGUACCUAUUCAGAAAGCCACGGCUAACUACG
rnacentral:rRNA from 1 species